rnacentral:rRNA from 1 species
AGUGAACGCUGGCGGUAGGCCUAACACAUGCAAGUCGAACGGCAGCACAGUAAGAGCUUGCUCUUACGGGUGGCGAGUGGCGGACGGGUGAGGAAUACAUCGGAAUCUACUUUUUCGUGGGGGAUAACGUAGGGAAACUUACGCUAAUACCGCAUACGACCUACGGGUGAAAGCAGGGGAUCUUCGGACCUUGCGCGAUUGAAUGAGCCGAUGUCGGAUUAGCUAGUUGGCGGGGUAAAGGCCCACCAAGGCGACGAUCCGUAGCUGGUCUGAGAGGAUGAUCAGCCACACUGGAACUGAGACACGGUCCAGACUCCUACGGGAGGCAGCAGUGGGGAAUAUUGGACAAUGGGCGCAAGCCUGAUCCAGCCAUACCGCGGGGGUGAAGAAGGCCUUCGGGUUGUAAAGCCCUUUUGUUGGGAAAGAAAAGCAGCAGGUUAAUACCCCGCUGUUCUGACGGUACCCAAAGAAUAAGCACCGGCUAACUUC